CGUGAGGGACGACGGCCUUCGGGUUGUAAACCUCUUUUAGCAGGAAAGAAGCGAAAGUGACGGUACCUGCAGAAAAAGCGCCGGCUAACUACGUGCCAGCAGCCGCGGUAAUACGUAGGGCGCAAGCGUUAUCCGGAAUUAUUGGGCGUAAAGAGCUCGUAGGCGGUCUGUCGCGUCUGCUGUGAAAACCCGAGGCUCAACCUCGGGCCUGCAGUGGGUACGGGCAGACUAGAGUGCGGUAGGGGAGAUUGGAAUUCCUGGUGUAGCGGUGGAAUGCGCAGAUAUCAGGAGGAACACCGAUGGCGAAGGCAGAUCUCUGGGCCGUAACUGACGCUGAGGAGCGAAAGGGUGGGGAGCAAACAGGCUUAGAUACCCUGGUAGUCCACCCCGUAAACGUUGGGAACUAGUUGUGGGGUCCAUUCCACGGAUUCCGUGACGCAGCUAACGCAUUAAGUUCCCCGCCUGGGGAGUACGGCCGCAAGGCUAAAACUCAAAGGAAUUGACGGGGACCCGCACAAGCGGCGGAGCAUGCGGAUUAAUUCGAUGCAACGCGAAGAACCUUACCAAGGCUUGACAUAUACGAGAACGGGCCAGAAAUGGUCAACUCUUUGGACACUCGUAAACAGGUGGUGCAUGGUUGUCGUCAGCUCGUGUCGUGAGAUGUUGGGUUAAGUCCCGCAACGAGCGCAACCCUCGUUCUAUGUUGCCA
rnacentral:rRNA from 1 species